GACGAACGCUGGCGGCGUGCUUAACACAUGCAAGUCGAACGGAAAGGCCCUGCUUUCGUGGGGUGCUCGAGUGGCGAACGGGUGAGUAACACGUGAGUAACCUGCCCUUGACUUUGGGAUAACUUCAGGAAACUGGGGCUAAUACCGGAUAGGAGCUCCUGCUGCAUGGUGGGGGUUGGAAAGUUUCGGCGGGUGGGGAUGGACUCGCGGCUUAUCAGCUUGUUGGUGGGGGAGUGGCUUACCAAGGCUUUGACGGGUAGCCGGCCUGAGAGGGUGACCGGCCACAUUGGGACUGAGGUGCGGCCCAGACUCCUACGGGAGGAAGCAGUGGGGAAUAUUGCACAAUGGGCGGAGGCCUGAUGCAGAAGCGCCGCGUGCGGGAUGACGGCCUUCGGGUUGUAAACCGCUUUCGCCUGUGACGAAGCGUGAGUGACGGUAAUGGGUAAAGAAGCACCGGCUAACUACGUG
rnacentral:rRNA from 1 species